UUUGUUUGCCAAAAUAUAGCUUAACGUUGCCGUAAGCCAUCUGGAAUAGAUUUGAAGUUGAUUCGGAAACACUUAAACCCCAAAAUUCAAUAGAAAGUAAAAUUUAUGUUCAAAUAUCAGUCUACAGGUGUCAAUAAAAGACCCAUAUGAAAAUUGAAUGAACAAAUACGGGUUUUUUUGUGUCAACGAACAGUUCGUCGUUCAUAUGAAAAUAUUAUCACGCUUAACGUUGCCGUAAGCCAUGUGGAAUAGAUUUGAAGUUGAUUCGGAAACACUUAAACCCCAAAAUUCAAUAGAAAGUAAAAUUUAUGUUCAAAUAUCAGUCUACAGGUGUCAAUAAAAGACCCAUAUGAAAAUUGAAUGAACAAAUUCGGGUUUUUUUUGUGUCAACGAACAGUUCGUCGUUCAUAUGAAAAUAUUAUCACGCUUAACGUUGCCGUAAGCCAUGUGGAAUAGAUUUGAAGUUGAUUCGGAAACACUUAAACCCCAAAAUUCAAUAGAAAGUAAAAUUUAUGUUC